rnacentral:lncRNA from 1 species
GUGCUGUUUCCAUGGAAACGGCGGCCAUCUUUUACCAUUCCAUAGCAAGGUGCACAACUUCAAAUGGGGUUCCUCAUUAUAGUUGAGUUCCAUAAACAUUGGUCCGUUUAAUUCUGAGAACUCGCGCGGACAAAAUGUGUGGAAGAAAAUAAAAAAAACUAGAUUUGUAAUUGCUAGCAAUAACGGAUGGCACCCUCGUCCCCCUAUUGCCAGGCGAGCGGCAGCCAUUUUGAAAAUUUCAAAGUCAAAGAGUGCAUCUACACAUGCAAGUCAUCAUUUUUGCAAAAUUUCAUUAAGUUUGAAGCAUUUUGAAAAUUUUGAUAUUUUUGCUGUUUCCAUGGUUACGGCGGCCAUUUUGGAAAUUCCAACUUCAAAAUGGAACUCCGCACAUGUCAGUCACUAUUCCUGUAAAGUUUCAUCCAGUUUGCAGCACUUAAUUU